UGCUCAAAAAAAUUCCUACAUGUAAAUCUACUGACAUUUUUGAGCAGGCACAUUUUCUUAAAAGAAUAUGGGGUGAACAGUGGACAACAUCAUAGGGAUUCUACUGCCUUUGGAGCCUAUGACAUAUGAUAGCCAGUGACGUUCCCUGGCAAAAUUGAUUCCCCCCCUGAGAAAAUCUGGGCUUAAGAUACAAGUUUAUAAGUUAUUUAUACAUAUCUAAAAUGCAAGGUAGAAAAAGUAUUUUUGGAUGGUUGAG